AUGUUUUGUCCAUAUUGUGGCCAUAACGUGGGAGAAGUUUUCAAGUUCUGCGGUUCAUGUGGCAAACAUAUUGAGUUUUUGGCGUUUGUCGACAACAGGUCAAUUCAAGAAAACAUUUCCAUCGAAGACCUCAUUCAGAAAUAUUUCAGAGACGGUUACUCCUUUAAUGAAACUUUGGACAUUCUGGCCUCAAAACAUAAACAGAAGAUCAGUCUGACCACACUUAAAUGUAGAAUAAGAAGUUUAUCACUGUCCCGCAAAAAACAUUACUCACCUCAGGCCUUGAUUCGUGCUGCAAUAAUAGAAGAGCUGAAGGGACCUGGUCAACAUUAUGGAUACCGUUCAAUGUGGCAGACACUGCGUCAGAAACACCAUCUUUCUGUGAAAAGGCAUGAUGUCAUGGUGAUGAUGGCAGAGCUCAACCCAUCUGGAGUCCAAAAGCGCUCAAGGAAAAAGUUUGUACGAAGAGUUUAUGAUUCACCUGGACCAAACCACACUUGGCAUGUUGAUGGAUAUGACAAAUUAAAGCCAUAUGGUUUGGCUAUCAGUGGUUGUAUUGAUGGCUAUUCACGGAAGGUAUUAUGGUUGGUUUGCGGAGCAACUAGCAGCAACCCAGAAGUCAUAGCUCAACACUACGUUCAGUGUGCUCCAGAGUUUGGAGUCAUACCAGUGCGACUUCACACAGACUGCGGCACUGAAAAUGGGACGAUGGCAGCAAUGCAUUGUGCCUUAUGGUCAUCUCAUCAAGAUUUUUUUGCAGGAGCUGCCAGUCAUAUGUAUGGAUCUUCAACAACAAAUCAAAGAAUUGAAAGCUGGUGGUCGUACUUCAGAAAACAGCGGUAGGUUCUAAAAUUUUUCAAGAAACAACUAUAUUAACCAGAUAAAAGUGUAGCUGUAAUAUAUAGUCUGUGAUGCAGAAGCCUUGCUGUGUAUCACACCACCUUUCCUUUAUAACUUCAAUGUGUAGCCAUUAUGUUACAUACAAGUAUAAGAUAGAAAAUAUAAACUGUAAUAGUCAAUAAAGAAAGUAAGAUGAAUAGAAAUCCAAAAUGCACGCACUUUACAUCAACUCAAGAAACAAUUUCAUAAACGUAAGAAAUAGUGAGGCUUUGAAGGCUGGUGAUUUGUGAGCUGAUGGUAUGUAUUUGUCUCUUUUAGAACACAGUUCUGGAUGGACCUUUUGAGUGACAUGAAGGAAAUGCACCUCUUCAAUGGUAGUCAUGAACACAUGUGCUUGGUGCGCUUCAUUUUCAUGGCUGUGCUUCAGAGGGAUCUGGAUGAAUGCAAAAGAAAGGUCGUGUCCAAAUUCAUGGGCUGCAUCCUCCUGAGGACCCA
rnacentral:lncRNA from 1 species